rnacentral:rRNA from 1 species
CCUACGGACGGCAGCAGUGAGGAAUAUUGGUCAAUGGCCGGAAGGCUGAACCAGCCAUGCCGCGUGAAGGUCAGUGCCCUAUGGGCGUUAAACUUCUUUUGUGCGGGAGCAAUAAUGGUCACGUGUGGCAAGACGCGAGUACCGUCCGAAUACGCAUCGGCUAACUACGUGCCAGCAGCCGCGGUAAUACGGGGGAUGCAAGCGUUAUCCGGAUUUAUUGGGUUGAAAGGGUGCGUAGGCUGGGAGGUAAGUCAGCGGUGAAAUGCCCCCGGUCAACGGGGUGAAGUGCCAUUGAUACUGCCUUGCUGGAAUGCGGAUGCCGUAGGAGGAAUGUGUGGUGUAGCGGUGAAAUGCAUAGAUAUCACGCAGAACACCGAUUGCGAAGGCAUCUCACGAAUCCGCGAUUGACGCUGAUGCACGAAAGCGUGGGUAUCAAACAGGAUUAGAUACCCUUGUAGUC